rnacentral:misc_RNA from 1 species
AACGCAUAUUGCACUCUCUGGUAUUCCGGAGAGUAUGCCUGUUUCAGUAUCAGUAACUCCCUUCAGACACACUCCUCCUUUCCAAAGGUGGUGAGGGGGAAGGGUUUGGAUUUGAGCGCUUGCCCGGAAAAAAAAAAGGGGUAUUUCCCUCCUUUCUCGGCACGCUCGAAAUGCAAGUACACAGGACAGGAUUCCCAGAUGGCCCGAGGUGUGAAAAUUUUGAAAGCGGUAGUAGUUGACUUUUGAUCGUCAUCUUUCGCUGAAAAAAAGAACACCCGGCUUUUUACGGGACCCGGCUGUGCAAAUUCGCAGGAAAAAGAAAACGAAAAAAAGGGAAUCGACCCUUCUUUUUGUUUUUUCACUUCUUGAUCUGAAAUCAGGUAGGACUACCCGCUGAACUUAA